GGAGUCUGGGCCGUGUCUCAGUCCCAAUGUGGCUGAUCAUCCUCUCAGACCAGCUAGAGAUCGUCGCCUAGGUGAGCCUUUACCUCACCUACUAGCUAAUCCCGUUUGGGCACAUCUGAUAGCGCAUUGCUGCUUUCACCCUCAGGCUUUAUGCGGUAUUAGCAGUCGUUUCCAACUGUUGUCCCCCUCUAUCAGGUAGUUUCCCAAAUGUUACUCACCCGUCCGCCACUCGUCAGCUAGAAAAGCAAGCUACUCCCAUGCUGCCCCUCGACUUGCAUGUGUUAAGCCUGUAGCUAGCGUUCAUC
rnacentral:rRNA from 1 species